GAAAUAGAUUUGACUUUUCCUCUUUUAGUGUGUAUUCCUGUGUCUAUCCUUGUUAUUCUGAUCUCGGCUGCAGAGACUUAAGUGAAAGCUGUAAACUAAUUGGAAAACCUUUUAAUUGGAGUUCAUUAGUGCAUGCUAUUUCAGCAGUUUACUGAUAGGUGUAAACUGGAAUAUAUUUUUUCAGUGGGAGUACCAAGAGCUAUGUAAUUAAGAAUAGCAUGCAGGUGAAUGACCUAGAUAUUUCAUACUAUUCAACUGGGAAUAAGCUUAAAUAUUUUUAAUGUUUCAGUGUAUUAGCAAACAGAGGAAAUAAAUUUGAAAACCUUUCAUUUGAAUCAGAAAACCAUCAAUGCUUGGAGAAUUCCUUCUACAUCAAGAUGUAAAUCCUUCUGCCGCCUUUGGAUGCUUCACUUAAAUGACUCUAAUCUAGUUCUGUCAGUCAAGUAGAUUGUCCACGAUCAUCUCUGGAAAAAGUCUGGAAAAAGAAUUCUCUGACAAAAAAAAGAGCUGUCCUAUGGUAAAAUGGUAUGUAACUGAUCACGUUUUAAUUUUAAUGAAUGAUAAUGUAAAAUGUUACAUUUAUGAAAGA
rnacentral:lncRNA from 1 species